AUGGUGGUGGUCGCCCGAGCUGCCGUGCCGCUUGCUGUGUUGCUGCUUGCCGCCGCACCGCUGCCGCUUGCUGCGCUGCUGCCGCGCCGCUGCACUGCUCCGUGCCCCGCGGCCACGCUGCUUCUUGCCGCCACUUGGCGUGCUGCUGUGUGCGCCGCCGCCGGCUGCUGCUGCGUGCACCGCCCGCCGCUGAUGCUUGCCACCAUCCCUGCCUCUGUUGUCCGCUCCCCCUGCUGUUGCUACUGCUUGUCACCCCCUUGCUGCAGCUUGACUAGGAGCAUGGCGUCAAAGGCCACCGGAGCAGUAGAAGGCCACCGGAGAAGAAAGGGAGACAGAGGAGAAGAAGGUACCAUGACAGACCUGCCAAAGAUGAAGAAGGCGAAGAAGGCCAAAUUCAUUGUCGGCAUCAUGGAGCCCAAGGUUGGGUUCCACAUCACUGAGGCGACUAGAAUAUGUUGCGAGUCCAACGAGUAUGUGCAUGAACUACUUCAUGUCGUGUGA
rnacentral:rRNA from 1 species